ACAUCCCAUCGAUUUUAUUACCAUUUGUUUCAAUCUUGAUUGUUUUCUUUAUACUAUCAGAUCAAAUUAAGCAUAUCUAUUUCAAUUGGUCCUCAAGAUGUUCGUCGAAUUUUACUGAAGCGAACCUAAAAGUUCAGUUAUGUCAGGAGACUUGCAGAAGUGUUCUGUCAGGAGAUUGGCAUGAGCGGAUAGUGAGGGGAAUUUACCAGUGUUCCCUUGACUUGGGUGGAGACAUGGCCCUUCUCAGUGUCGGCCACGAGCUUGGAGAGCCCGAAGUCGGCAACCUUGGCCUUGAGGUUGUUGUCGAGGAGGAUGUUGGUGGACUUGAUGUCGCGGUGGAUGAUCGGUGGGUCAGCGAGCUCGUGCAGGUAGGCAAGCCCUCUGGCCGAGCCAAGCGCGAU